GACGAACGCUGGCGGCGUGCUUAACACAUGCAAGUCGAACGAUGAAGCCGGAGCUUGCUCUGGUGAAUUAGUGGCGAACGGGUGAGUAACACGUGAGUAACCUGCCCUUGACUCUGGGAUAACUGCGGGAAACUGUAGCUAAUACCGGAUACGACCCUCGGAGGCAUCUCCUGGGGGUGGAAAGAAUUUCGGUCAAGGAUGGACUCGCGGCCUAUCAGCUAGUUGGUGAGGUAAAGGCUCACCAAGGCGACGACGGGUAGCCGGCCUGAGAGGGUGACCGGCCACACUGGGGCUGAGACACGGCACAGACUCCUACGGGAGGCAGCAGUGGGAAAUAUUGCACAAUGGGCAGAAGCCUGAUGCAGCAACGCCGCGUGAGAGAUGACGACCUUCGGGUUGUAAACCUCUUUUAGUAGGGAAGAAGCGAAAGUGACGGUACCUGCAGAAAAAGCACCGGCUAACUACGUGCCAGCCGCCGCCGUAA
rnacentral:rRNA from 1 species